UCUGACCUCAAAUCAGGA
rnacentral:rRNA from 1 species